rnacentral:rRNA from 1 species
UCACGGUAGAAUUCGCGACUGGGGUGAAGUCGUAACAAGGUAGCUGUAGGUGAACCUGCAGAAGGAUCA